UAAGGGCGUACGGUGGAUGCCUUGGCGAUAUCAGCCGAAGAAGGACGCGGUAAGCUGCGAUAAGCUACGGAGAGGUGCAAGCAACCUGUGACCCGUAGAUUUCCGAAUGGGGGAACCCGGCAGUGGUUAUGCACUGUCACCUAUAGCUUAGACUAUGAGGAGGGCACCUGGGGAACUGAAACAUCUAAUUACCCAGAGGAACAGUAAUCAAACGAGAUUUUCUUAGUAGCGGCGAGCGAACGGGAAAGAGGCCAAACCGGAGCGGGCAACCGCACCGGGGUUGAGGACAGUCAUCAAGUGUAAAUGAGGUAGAAGAAUCGAGCUGGAAAGCUCAGCCGCAGAAGGUGAAAGCCCUGUAAUCGAAACCUUGCAUACACGGGACUGUAUCCAGAGUACCACGAGACACGUGAAACCUUGUGGGAAGCAGGGGGGACCACCCUCCAAGCCAAAAUACUGAUAUCGACCGAUAGCGCAUAGUACCGUGAGGGAAAGGUGAAAAGAACCCCUGGCGGGGAGUGAAAGAGAACCUGAAACCGUAUGUCUACAAACAGUCGAAGUCUGUAUAUAUAUCAGGACGACGGCGUGCCUAUUGAAGAAUGAACCGACGAGUUACUGUUGCUAGCGAGGUUAAGUGGAAAACAUGGAGCCGCAGCGAAAGCGAGUCUGAACAGGGCGUUCAGUUAGUAAUAGUAGACCCGAAACCGUAGUGAUCUAUCCAUGGCCAGGUUGAAGCACAGGUAAAAUUGUGUGGAGGACCGAACUCGUGAGCGUUGAAAAGCUUUGGGAUGAGUUGUGGAUAGGGGUGAAAUGCCAAUCGAACACGGAGAUAGCUGGUUCUCCCCGAAAUAGCUUUAGGGCUAGCCUCGAGGUAGAGAGUAUAGGCGGUAGAGCACUGAUCGGGCUAGGGGCCAUACCGGUUACCGAACCUAGUCAAACUACGAAUGGCUAUACUUAUACUCGGGAGUCAGACAGUGAAUGAUAAGGUCCAUUGUCAAGAGGGAAACAGCCCAGAACACCGACUAAGGUCCCCAAUGUUACACUAAGUGGCGAAGGAUGUGGAAUUUCCAAAACAACCAGGAUGUUGGCUUAGAAGCAGCCACCAUUUAAAGAGUGCGUAAUAGCUCACUGGUCGAGAGACUCUGCGCCGAAAAUGUCCGGGGCUAAAGUGUAAAACCGAAGUCGUGUCAUAUGCAGCAAUGUAUAUGGGUAGGGGAGCGUUCUCAUCGGGCUGAAGCAGUACCGUAAGGAGUUGUGGACUGAUGAGAAGUGAGAAUGUCGGUAUGAGUAGCGAAAAGAAUGGUGAGAAUCCAUUCCACCGAAAGCCUAAGGGUUCCUGAGCAACGAUCGUCGUCUCAGGGUAAGUCGGGACCUAAGCCGAGGCGGAACAGCGUAGGCGAUGGACAACAGGUUGAAAUUCCUGUACCGGUGUGAAUCGUUUGAUCGAUGGAGUGACACAGUAAGGUAGGUCAGCACGCGAUUGGAAGAGCGUGUUUAAGCAGGUAGGUUGAGCUAUAGGCAAAUCCGUAGCUCUAAAAGCUGAGAUGUGAUGACGAGUGACUAGCAAUAGUCGCGAAGUGAUUGAUCCUACACUGUCGAGAAAAGCUUCUAGGUAGAGACACAUCGCCCGUACCAAAACCGACACAGGUAGGCGGGGAGAGAAUCCUAAGGUGCGCGGGAAAACCCUCGUUAAGGAACUCGGCAAAAUGCCUCCGUAACUUCGGGAAAAGGAGGACUCAUGUAGUGUGAAGAGCAGAAGCGCUUGGAGCAUGAAUGAGUGGCACAAGAGAGGCGCAAGCGACUGUUUACCACAAACACAGGUGCCUGCUAAAGCGAAAGCUGAUGUAUAGGUGCUGACACCUGCCCGGUGCUGGAAGGUUAAGAGGAGGGGUUAGACUUCGGUCGAAGCUCUGAAUUGAAGCCCCAGUAAACGGCGGCCGUAACUAUAACGGUCCUAAGGUAGCGAAAUUCCUUGUCGGGUAAGUUCCGACCCGCACGAAAGGUGUAACGACUUGCGCACUGUCUCAACGAGGGACCCGGUGAAAUUGAAGUACCUGUGAAGAUGCAGGUUACCCGCGACUGGACAGAAAGACCCCAUGGAGCUUUACUGCAACCUAAGAUUGAACUUAGUUAAUGAAUGUACAGGAUAGGUGGGAGACGUAGAACCUAGGACGCCAGUUUUAGGGGAGUCGCUGUUGGGAUACCACCCUUUCAUUAAUUGAUUUCUAACGGGCCGAGUAACGACCGGCCGGACAGUCUUAGGCGGGCAGUUUGACUGGGGCGGUCGCCUCCAAAAGAGUAACGGAGGCGCCCAAAGGUUCCCUCAGGUCGAGCAGGGACGAAAGUCGGGCUUAGUGAUCCGGUGGUGCCGAGUGGAAGGGCCAUCGCUCAACGGAUAAAAGCUACCCUGGGGAUAACAGGCUAAUCUCUCCCAAGAGUCCAUAUCGACGGGGAGGUUUGGCACCUCGAUGUCGGCUCAUCACAUCCUGGGGCUGAAGUAGGUCCCAAGGGUUCGGCUGUUCGCCGAUUAAAGUGGUACGUGAGCUGGGUUCAGAACGUCGUGAGACAGUUCGGUCCCUAUCCAUCGCGGGCGCAAGAAACUUGAAGGGGGCUGCUCCUAGUACGAGAGGACCGGAGUGGACGAACCGCUGGUGUACCAAUUAUCCUGCCGGGACGGAUAAACGCUGAAAGCAUCUAAGCGUGAAACCAGCCUUGAGAUGAGGUUUCUCAUAGCAUAAGCUAGUAAGAUCCCAUGUAGACGACAUGGUUGAUAGGCCAGGUGUGGAAGAGCCGUGAGGUUUGGAGCUGACUGGUACUAAUCGAUCGAGGGCUUUACUUAU
rnacentral:rRNA from 1 species